rnacentral:misc_RNA from 1 species
GUCAUUUGAGGCCAUGAAGCAAGACAUUAAGCUUAUAGAAUCAAAUGGAAAAGAAAAGGACAUGGAGAUUGUUACAUUGCGCCGGAACAUUGCCUUGCUUCAUGAAGCCUGCACCAGAUCACUCAUGGAAAUUGAAAAUAGAAAAGCUGAAGUUGUCGCAAAGAGUUUGGCUGCUCGAAAUCUGGGGAUAAAUUUGAAACCAGCAACUUAUGGUGAUGGUGGGCUUCCCUUUGGUGGAGAGAGUUAUUUUUCAUCCGAGGAACAUGUCAAGACUACGGCAGAAAAAUUGUUAUUGGCCGUGAAAGAUCUUUCUAGCUUAAAAGGUGAGAUUAUAGAGGGUAACGAGAAGGAAAUGAAAAUUACCAUAUCAAAUUUGCAGAAGGAGCUUCAGGAGAAGGAUAUUCAAAGAGAGAGAAUUUGCAAGGAUCUUGUCAGUCAAAUUAAGCAAGUGGAAGCUGCUGCAACAAACUACUCCCUUGACCUUCAAUCUUCAAAAUCUCAU